AUGGGGUAUUAUCUUGCCGACGUUAUCUAUCCUUCGUGGUCAACAUUUGCGAAGACCACCGAUAAUCCGAAAGGAAAUAAGCAAGCUAUUUUUUCCCAAGCACAAGAAGCAUGCCGAAAGGAUAUUGAGAGGGCAUUUGGUGUGUUGCAAGCUCAGUCUGCCAUUGUUCGAGAUCCGCUCGCUUCCGGGAUAAGAAAUCCCUCUUAA
rnacentral:rRNA from 1 species